UAGGGAAUAUUGGGCAAUGGUCGGAAGACUGACCCAGCCAUGCCGCGUGCCGGAUGAAGGCCUUCUGGGUUGCAAACGGCUUUUACCAGGGAAGAAAAUACUCUUGCGAGAGGAACUGACGGUACCUGGUGAAUAAGCACCGGCUAACUCCGUGCCAGCAGCCGCGGUAAUACGGAGGGUGCAAGCGUUGUCCGGAUUUAUUGGGUUUAAAGGGUGCGUAGGCGGCCAAGUAAGUCCGUGGUGAAAGCCCACAGCUCAACUGUGGAACUGCCAUGGAUACUGCUAGGCUUGAGUACAGACGAGGUAGGCGGAAUGGAUAGUGUAGCGGUGAAAUGCAUAGAUACUAUCCAGAACACCGAUUGCGAAGGCAGCUUACUAGACUGUAACUGACGCUGAGGCACGAAAGCGUGGGGAGCGAACAGGAUUAGAUACCCUGGUAGUCCACGCCGUAAACGAUGAUAACUCGAUGUUGGCGAUAUACCGUCAGCGUCUUAGCGAAAGC
rnacentral:rRNA from 1 species